GUGCAACUGAAAAUCCUUUCAAACAACAGCUACAAAAGAGAUUGGUCAGUUAGGACAGGAAUAGAAAGUGGAAACUUAGAAGACUGGCUACUCCUUGUGUAUGAUUGCUGGGGAAAUGCAGUAGACAUUUGUCACCAGCAGCUCUUUGGAGACUUCAAUGUUCCUUCCUCCCAGGAUCCGAAAGGGGACUUCAGACACACGGAGUCUCCCUUGUCGCCCAGGCUGGAGUGCAGUGGCGCGAUCUCGGCUCACUGCAGGCUCCGCCCCCCGGGGUUCAAGCCAUUCUCCUACCUCAGCCUCCCGAGUAGCUGGGACUACAGGCGCCCGCUACCUCGCCCGGCUAAUUUUUUGUAUUUUUAGUAGAGACGGGGUUUCACUGUGUUAGCCAGGAUGGUCUCGAUCUCCUGACCUCGUGAUCCACCCGCCUCGGCCUCCAAAAGUGCUGGGAUUACAGGCGUGAGCCACCGCGCCCGGCCAAAAAUGCACUUUCAUAUGAAGAGUAGGAGACCCGAAAGGGACUUGCCUAAGAUUUUCAUUUGAAUUUAGUACAUUAUGAGUUGUCAUAGUAUAAGAGGCAGGUUUGGAGGAUUGACAGUGUUCUUAACUUCAGGGAGAAUCUAAGACACCAGGAGCUCAGAAGAAUGGAGUCUCAAGACAUCAGGCAAAUACUGAAGAGAUCAGAGCCAAGUUCUAAAGGGCAGCCAUUUCCCAAAUGUCAACCAAGAGCGAAGCCAAGAGAAUUAUGAUUUCCUGGCUAUACAAUCACAGGAAAAGCUGAUCAAAGCUGGAGUGCAAGUUAAAAAGUGUAAGGUACUCAAGUGCUAGGGUCUGUGUCCAAGCCCAAUCAAUUGAUCAUUAGUUGUUUUUAACUUCAACGUUUCUUUUGCAACAGCACCUCUUCCUUAAAGUAGCAAUCUUAGCAGACUGCCACCUUACAUGAUGCAUCUUAUUCUCCAAGGACAAUGAAGACUGAACUAUCGCACAUUACCUAAGAAAGAUGGGAACUGACAUGCACAUCACAAUUGUAUACACAACAGAAAUUAUUGAAUCAUGAGAUAUACAUUCCGGUGUGUGACAGAUUGGCACAUGACAUAAUCUGGGUUCUUUAUAGACUCAGUUGUUUUGGGUCGAUCUAGAUUAUCAAGAGAAGAGCCUUCAUGCUUAGCUUUAUCUUGUACCAACCACCAGGGCCCUUGCUUCUGAGCAGGAAGCAGCUGGGGAAUAGGCUCUUUCUCUUAAUGACUUCCAACAUAGUUCUCUGAAACCUUACUCAUCCAGAAGGCCACCCGCACCUGGCUAUGGCUACUUCAGAAAAAACUCGGCCUCUGGUAUAAUAGAGCAGAAUCAUCACCUCACAUUCUAUUUCAAGCCAAAGUCAAUAUCUCAAAGGCUGGUUCUGUGAUUUAUUUGGCCCUUGGGAGCUCCUACUGAAAGUGCUGAAAUGUCGUACUGACACUUCAGACUUAUAGCUACCUAGACUCCAAGUAAGAUUUAUCUCUGACUGGAGGGUUUCUCCUAUUAAAAACCAAACAGUGUAGGGUGCCUUCACCUGCUAGGUAAUCUUCUAUGCCCUAAUGGGAAGAAUGGGAGCAGCAGACAAGUAAGUGCAGGAAGGAGAACCAAAGCUGUGUCCAUGCCCUUGAGGAAAGAGAAAUUGGACCAGACAAGUUCAGUGGAAACUUUCUAACGGAUCCAUCAACUUCAUCUUGUCUAAGCAGAGGCAUAGCUAGAAGUGUGACUGAAAUAGGAGAACCACGUACAGGGGUUCAGGGGGCAUUCCUCUGAAAUCGCAGCUGGAAGCAUUUUGUAAUAGUUCUGGUACUGCACCCAUAGAUACUGUCACCUCUACUCUUUCUUCCAAUCACCAUUAGCAGAUGCCACAGGAUUCCUACUUCUGAAAGUUUUUGGGCCCCGCAGGUGGAAGACCGGAGAAGCCAAUAAAGUUUAAGGCUACAUUUUAUUCCAUCCACAAAUUUGGUGAAGGAGGAAAUGUUUACAAUUCUGCCAUGCCAUGAAUAGGAGUUUUCCACCGGGUGUACACUGCUGUUAACAAGGUGUAAAUACUUGCCCAGUAAAAAGACCGUACGGUACUGCUAAUGGACGUCCCAACACAAUGCCAGAUGCAAAAACUUCUUUGGUGAUUGCUUUUGAUAACACUGAGUAGCUAAAGGUCUUCUUUCACAUCUUUGCCCACCUCAAAUUCUGAAGGCAAGGUCUCUGGAAUUCGAGGCUGUGCCCUCACAUGGCUCCAAGGCACCAACAAAGCAAAAUGAAGAGUCUGCACUGCUUAUCAGUUGACCCAACACUCAGUCCGCAUUGGAGGGGAAGGGGUGGUGGGCUGAGGAUGUCUUCUUCCUGUCCAGGACGCAAUAUGGUCAAGGAUGAAAGGAAAGAGAUGCUGGGAGCAAGUCUGCAUUGAAGAUGUAUUUCUGUUGCUUUACUACCAACCCUGGUUAUAAAUGAUGAAACUAUAAUGGGUCUGUAAUAGCUACUUUCCCAUAUAGCUCUUGUCUGUACAUACAUAAAAUUAAAAAUAAUAGAAUACUUCCAUUACUAA